GCAGAUCUACGAGCUCCUGCGCCCGUUUGCGCGGUGGGCCCAAGUGGCCACCAGGUGACGCUAUGGUCCCAGCCAUCGUGCCAGCCAACUUGUGACUCUGCCCUCCUGAAAACCCAAGGUACACAGAAGUAGACAGUCACAAAAUGAACUCCAUCCCAUGACAAGAUACAGUAACAGACAGCAUUUAUGUCCACGCCUGUUUUGUUGAAGAAAGCUCCAGAUAACAUCUCUCUGCUUUCACAAAUACUACAUGAUAGCCCGGCAUGAUGGAACAAGCCCCGAAUCCCAGCACUCUGGAGGACAGCGCAAGAGGACUGGAGUUUGAGGCCAGUAUGGGCUUCAUAGCAAGACUCUACACAAAAUAAGCAAACAGAAAGGCUUCCGUGGGUAUCCCCAGGAGACAAAGAUGGCUCUUAAAUACUAACACCAUUGCUGAGCUAACCCUACUGCCUCACACGGACAGCAUUUCUUGGAUACCAUCAGCUAUUUCCUCAGUAACCAUAUUUCUCAAACUGCUCCACAAACACAGAGGUGCCAUUAGCAGUUGACGGUUCUUCCCCAAUCAUACCCAAAUAAGGACCAUGAAUUGCGUUGGGUCCAUUCAAAUAUCGUUUGAAUUAGGGUUAAGUUUUUCAUACAGUGGAAGAGACAGAUAUGGUUUGUGUGGUUCUAAUACCUUCUUAUAUGGUAAACAUAUCAAACAAAAAUAUAAGCUGGUAUCCAUCCCUCCUCCCUUAAUCAAUCUGCCGUCAAAUGGGCCGGAAGGAACCAGUGAUCUGGUGCCAGCUGCUAUUCCACACUUUUAUUCUGGAAAUGCAUGUAAGUGGAACCAAAUGGGCUUCUCCGUCCUGCCUCUGCUACUGAGGUUCAGCCAAUAUUUAUCAAUAUUUCAGUCUUUUUCCAUUUUCCUUUCAUGUUUCACCGUCUGAAUGUAACACAGUUGGCGUCCAUGUAUCCUGUUAGGAAAUACCUUUGUUGAUGGAUAUCUGGAUUGUUCCCAAGCUUUGGAAAUAAACUAGAAACCCUUCU